rnacentral:rRNA from 1 species
AACGAACGCUGGCGGCAGGCUUAACACAUGCAAGUCGAACGCGUGGAGCAAGACACGAGUGGCGCACGGGUGAGUAACGCGGGUAUGUCUGCCGUUGGGUUCGGAAUAACGCCGGGAAACAGGAGCUAAUACCGGAUGGUUCCUUCGGAAGAAAGAUUGAUCGCCAAAAGAGGAGUGCGCGUACGAUUAGCUAGUUGGUGAGGUAAUGGCUCACCAAGGCGACGAUCGUUAGCUGGUCUGAGAGGACGAUCAGCCACACUGGGACUGAGACACGGCCCAGACUCCUACGGGAGGCAGCAGUGGGGAAUAUUGGACAAUGGGGGCAACCCUGAUCCAGCCAUGCCGCGUGAGUGAUGAAGGCCUUAGGGUUGUAAAGCUCUUUUGGCGGGGACGAUGAUGACGGUACCCGCAGAAUAAGCCCCGGCUAACUUCGUGCCAGCAGCCGCAGUAAAAC